AUUGAACGCUGGCGGCAGGCCUAACACAUGCAAGUCGAGCGGAGCGGCGGACGGGUGAGUAAUGCCUAGGCAUCUGCCUGGUAGUGGGGGAUAACGUCCGGAAACGGGCGCUACUACCGCAUACUAUCAGAUGAGCCUAGGUCGGAUUAGCUAGUGGGUGGGGUAAAGGCCUACCAAGGCGACGAACCGUAACUGGUCUGAGAGGAUGAUGAGUCAGACUGGGACUGAGACAGUGACCAGACUCCUACGGGAGGCAGCAGUGGGGAAGAUUGGACAAUGGGCGAAGUCCUGAUCCAGCCAGGCGGCGGGUGUGAAGAAGGUCAUCGGAUUGUAAAUCACUUUAAGUUUGAAGGCGUUACGAACAGAAUAAGCAACGGCUAACUGCGUGCAAGCAGCCGCGGUAAUAC
rnacentral:rRNA from 1 species